AAUAGAUACCCUGGUAGUCCACGCCGUAAACGGUGGGUACUAGGUGUGGGUUUCCUUCCUUUAGGGAUCCGUGCCGUAGCUAACGCAUUAAGUACCCCGCCUGGGGAGUACGGCCGCAAGGCUAAAACUCAAAGGAAUUGACGGGGGGCCCGCACAAGCGGCGGAGCAUGUGGAUUAAUUCGAUGCAACGCGAAGAACCUUACCUGGGUUUGACAUGCACAGGACGCCGGUAGAGAUAUCGGUUCCCUUGUGGCCUGUGUGCAGGUGGUGCAUGGCUGUCGUCAGCUCGUGUCGUGAGAUGUUGGGUUAAGUCCCGCAACGAGCGCAACCCUUGUCUCAUGUUGCCAGCACGUUAUGGUGGGGACUCGUGAGAGACUGCCGGGGUCAACUCGGAGGAAGGUGGGGAUGACGUCAAGUCAUCAUGCCCCUUAUGUCCAGGGCUUCACACAUGCUACAAUGGCCGGUACAAAGGGCUGCGAUCCCGUGAGGGUUAGCGAAUCCUUUAAAGCCGGUCUCAGUUCGGAUUGGGGUCUGCAACUCGACCCC
rnacentral:rRNA from 1 species